UACAGAGGGUGCAAGCGUUAAUCGGAAUUACUGGGCGUAAAGGGCGCGUAGGUGGUUUGUUAAGUUAGAUGUGAAAUCCCUGGGCUUAACCUAGGAACUGCAUCUAAUACUGGCGAGCUAGAGUACUGUAGAGGGUAGUGGAAUUUCCGGUGUAGCGGUGAAAUGCGUAGAUAUCGGAAGGAACAUCAGUGGCGAAGGCGGCUACCUGGACUGUCACUGACACUGAGGCGCGAAAGCGUGGGGAGCAAACAGG
rnacentral:rRNA from 1 species